rnacentral:snRNA from 1 species
AGAUCGCUUGAUUGAGCCCGGGAGGCAGAGGUUGAAGUGAGCUUUGAUUGGGCCACUGCACUCCAGCCUGGGCAACAGAG